GACGGAGGAUGCAAGCGUUAUCCGGAAUGAUUGGGCGUAAAGCGUCCGCAGGUGGCAGUUCAAGUCUGCUGUCAAAGACCGGGGCUUAACUUCGGAAAGGCAGUGGAAACUGAACAGCUAGAGUAUGGUAGGGGCAGAGGGAAUUCCUGGUGUAGCGGUGAAAUGGCGCAGAUAUCAAGGAGGAACACCGGUGGCGAAGGCGGGUCUCUGGGCCGAUGACUGACGUGAGGAGCGAAAGCGUGGGGAGCGA
rnacentral:rRNA from 1 species